rnacentral:lncRNA from 11 species
ACCUGCUUCUCCUGUGCUUGCCUAAGGAAUCAAACCAGUAGCAGAGCACCUCUGUAGGAGAGUUUAUGUAGGAGAGUUUCUUUGCUGUUUGUGAGGACUCAGAACAUAGCCUUCUACAUGGUUGCUCCUAUACUGUGGAACAGCCUUGCAUGGGAAGUCUGGUUGGCUCCUUUGCACUCUUUCUGCUGGCAGAUGAAGAUGUCCAACCUUUAUCUUGUGGAUUGCAACAAAACCUGUUUACCGAGAUGGCAUCAAUGAGAACAGAGGAACUAUAUGAGAGUUACUCCAGUUUCAUCUUCUCUUUUUCCUUCCAAAUGUAAAGACAUUUGUGAAUUUUAAUAAAUUC